rfam:Cavia porcellus supercont2_20 genomic scaffold, whole genome shotgun sequence.
GGGGGUGUAGCUCAGUGGUAGGGCACGUGCUUAGCAUGCACGAGGCCUGGGGUUCAAUUCUCAGCACCCCCA